rnacentral:rRNA from 1 species
UUUAAAUGGCCGCAGUAUACUAACUGUGCAAAGGUAGCAUAAUCAUUAGUCUUUUAAUUGAGGGCUAGUAUGAAUGGUUGGACGAGAUAUUAACUGUUUCAUAAAAAUUUAUUAUAGAAUUUUAUUUUUUAGUCAAAAAGCUAAAAUUUAUUUAAAAGACGAGAAGACCCUAUAAAUCUUUAUAUUUAUUAUUUAAUAGUUUUAUAGUUUUUUUUUGCUAUUAUAUUUUAUAUUAUUUUAUUGGGGUGAUGUUAAAAUUUGUUAAACUUUUAAUUGUUGAAUUCAUUAAUUUAUGAAUUAUUGAUCUUUUAUUAAUGAUUAAAAAAUUAAGUUACUUUAGGGAUAACAGCGUAAUUUUUUUGGAGAGUUCGUAUUGAAAAAAAAGAUUGCGACCUCGAUGUUGGAUUAAGAUAUAUUUUUGGGUGUAGUCGCUUAAAUUUUAAGUC